rnacentral:rRNA from 1 species
UACGAAGGGGGCUAGCGUUGUUCGGAAUUACUGGGCGUAAAGCGCACGUAGGCGGAUCGAUCAGUCAGGGGUGAAAUCCCAGGGCUCAACCCUGGAACUGCCUUUGAUACUGUCGAUCUGGAGUAUGGAAGAGGUGAGUGGAAUUCCGAGUGUAGAGGUGAAAUUCGUAGAUAUUCGGAGGAACACCAGUGGCGAAGGCGGCUCACUGGUCCAUUACUGACGCUGAGAAGCGAAAGCAUGGGGAGCGAACAGG